UACAGAGGGUGCGAGCGUUAAUCGGAAUUACUGGGCGUAAAGCGUGCGUAGACGGUUAUUUAAGUCGGGUGUGAAAGCCCCGGGCUCAACCUGGGAAUUGCAUUCGAGACUGAAUAGCUAGGGUACGGUAGAGGGAAGUGGAAUUUCCGGUGUAGCGGUGAAAUGCGUAGAUGUCGGAAGGAACAUCAGUGGCGAAAGCGACUUCCUGGACCAGUACCGACGUUCAGGCACGAAAGCGUGGGGAGCAAACAGG
rnacentral:rRNA from 1 species